AUUAAAUGUAUAAACGGGGUGUCCAAAGUUCAAUCAAUAACCCUGUACAAGGUUCGAACGUGAAAACUACAAAUGUAACAAAAAGUCGCAGAAGUGCAUGGUUUUUUCACAAGUUAUUUUAUUGGUUUUUAAUUUUAUUUAGGCAACGUCUAAUUUACCUAUUUUUGAAUCCACUUUUGAUAUCAACAUGUUUAUAUCUGGGACAUUGGCAAAAAAAUCAAACCACGGAAAGCUCUAAUGAUUGUUUUAUGGAAACAAACAUUUAUUUAUACUCCGUUACAAUUAUUUCCAAUUUCCCAAAAACAAUCCGGAGUAUGCGUCUUGUAACAAUAAUAAAACAUUAAAAACAUUUUAUUUAAGUUUAGCUGUUUGCAGGAAUGGAUACGGUUCUGUACAAGAAGCGGAUUAUUCCGAAUUACCAAAUUCCAAGUUUAAUUUAAGCGAGCUCGUCUGUGUUAUUCGGAAAGUUCAUUUCAAUUGCUUUAUCCUCACGAAUGCUAACAUUUUUACAUUGUAUCAAAUACGAGUGCACUCCCUGGGAAAGUGCGGUAAAGGUUUUUUUACUUCAUUGAGAGCUUUAAGGAACUUAGAAGCACUAAACAUAUAUUAAAAAGCUUUACAAUUGGCCACAAAUGAGGAAAGCGGAUAAUACUAAAUACGGAACUGUAGUAGUGCAAGAAUCAGGAAUCGAAUUAAGAGAGCGCAUAGUUCGAAACCUCCUGCUGCAUGUUGGUCUCCUGAUAAAUGCGCUCGAGUUUUAGCAACCAUGUGUAACCGUAUUACGUCAUACGUGAGGAGUCCUCCACAUAUGUGUGGGAGCCCCAGAGUAGUCGGUUUUACCUAGCAUACAGACGCUAUCAGAGAUACAUAAAUUGGGUUUGGGUUGCUGGGGAUGAUCCUUUUUUCCGGUAUUGUUUAGUAAUUCAAGGUUCACGGGGGCAGAAAAAGUGAUUUUUUCGAAAAAAUUAAACAUAUUUUUCCCAACUCGAUUCUAAAACGACUUCGGUCCACGAUAGAAAGAACUCUCUUCUCUGAAUUAGGAAACUUCAUCAGCUACAAAUAAAUACGAUACUUUGUAGUAAGUAGCACGCACGAUUUGUGCACAAAGUCAGUGGUGUCCUCCUGCCUCUCUUAGCAUAUUAGGAGGAAAUCCGGCCGGGCAGAACCAAAUUGGUGCCAAGGAAACAGAAAAUACCCCAAGCUUCGACUAGCAGAGUUAAGUUUAUUCGGUCUCAGUUCAACUGAUGGUCGCAGCUCCUUUCAGUUAUGCUGUCCUGGUUCAAAUGGAGUCGCUCUGUGCGCGAAAACUGACUCGCGCUCGGAGGCUUGCUUGCAAGUGACGGAAGAAGGAGUGAGUGUGGGUGGUGUGGGCUCUGCCUGCACAGCAACUCCUUUUUCAGGUGUGGGCCGCCCUGCUUCGUACGAUACCGAAUUAAAUUAAAUCCAAGAUGAUGGUAUUUAAUUUUGUAGUCAUCCUACUUGAAUGCAGUUCCACCAUCCGGUUUUGUAGCCAGGUGGAGGAAACAAACCAUUCAGGAAACUGUUCUUUCAACUAUUUGUUAGACCAAAAAUAAUAUGAUAUAUAAAAAUUA